GAAAAGACUAACCUAUCAAUUUUAGUGAACUUGAAAGGAUUUUAAGAAAGCAUGUUAAAUACUACGUACGUUCCUAAAUCGCUGCUGCCAAGGGCAGCUUCCUUCAUGUUUCUCUGAAUGGUCUCCUUUGAGUUUAGCAUGCCUUGGAGCUGCAAGAAAACAGGCUGCUGAAAGAUUUGUAUGUGAAGCAGAAGUGUAUCAGUGGAAUACAACAAUCCAAGGCAGAGAGAAGGAAGGGGAGUAAAAUUGUACUUACAGAAGGCAGCAGGAGAUUAUAAAUAACUCAAGGGAGAGUACGGUUUCAGAGGAGGUGAAACUUGUUGAUGCACUCAGAGAAAAGGCUGAACUCGAGAACAGAGAAGUGUGACAACCUCCCUGGAUGCAGUUCUGGGAAAAUCAGCAUGAACUAAACAGUUCUUGACUGCUGGCUCCUUGCUUGACAUCCUCAGCCUCCUUUUCCAAAAAUACUGAUUGCCUUUUGCUUUGAUACCUUGCAGGUACCUGGAUUCAUAGAAUUCAGUCCCUAACUUAACAAUUUCUCUCAUUUUGUCUUUAAACAAUGCCCAUUCUAGUUUAAGAACGAAGACUGGAGUUUUGCUGCAGAAGAGAUGACCUGGGACACAGAGAUGAAGAUGUGAACCUGCAGGCCACUUCUACUUCUGAUUGCCCACACCGUCCAUAGCCACAUAAUAUCACUGGAAUAACGGCAUCAAUUAUUUACAUAAAUACUUUUAAAAUUCUACUUUAAAAAUAUAUUCUGUUUUUAACGCAAUUGAACUGAAAACAAAGACAGCACCAUAUGACUAGAGAGGUCUCCAUGAGCCACUGGAAAGCACUUGAUUUACAGACAGGGUUUGGAAAGCCAAACGAAUUCUGCAGAAUGUUUAUAUAAAAGCAUUACUCUCCAUAACUUCCUCUAACUGGACUGUCCUUUCAUUUAUAUCUUUUUCCAUCAACUUAUUUAGACUGAUGCAUCGCACCUAAAAAUAGUUGAGAUUUACUUUAUCUUUUUCUACUCAGAAUAACACCACAAAAUGGAUCAUGCCUACAUGCAGUUAUCUGAGAAACCUACUCUCUUAUAUCAGCUCAUCCCUUUUGGUGUCUGAGAAUCACUGAACCGCAUAUUAAGUUGGUAUACAUUUACAUAAUCAUAAAAGUUAAGGAAGUUACGGGCAAGAGUCUGACCCCAAUUUAUCAAGUGUAACAAAGAUUACUCUCUAGGCCAUAGAGAACGUCUCACCUUUAGCUACCCUUUUAGAAACAGAGCAUGACUCUGGUGCUGUUAAUUGAAUCAUCCCAGCUCUACGUUGGUGUUACUUAAAAUAAAUCCAGGUUUCCUGAAUUUUAAUUUUUUCCAUGUGCUGGAGCAAUUUUUCUGCGUAGCAGGAGCUAGCUUUACACCACUGGAGCUGCAGGAAGGACUCUGUGAAUAGCAACCUCUUAUCCGGUUUGGGACAAAUCACAAGAAAGAAACAAAACCAACUGUAGUUGAUUAUUCUAUGCCCUGCAAUGUGGUCUUUUUCAAGAGGAAAAAAGAAAAACAAAGAAGGGAUUAGAGGAACUUCAGAGGAAGAAGUGGGAUAAUAGCUGCACACCAGAGAGCUGGUAUGAACUUGAACAGUAAGGCUUACCCUUUGUAUGCAUUUUUAGCAACACAAAGCUCAAAAAUAUUCUGAAACACUCAAUACAAGGGAGAACAGCACAGAUAUCAUUUACCUGUUUUUUAUCUACUUCAGAAAACAGAUUUCUGCUUCAAGCUAUAAAUCAUUAAGACCUCUACCUUUCAAACAGUGCAUCACAAAUUGGCUUUCCUGUUUAUAAAAAUCAUCCUAAUAUGCCUCAGCACUGCUUUCUUUCAAGAAAGUCUAGAGAGCGCCAGCUGUCUGAGCUGGUUGUGGUGUUGUGUAAGAUUUGUGCGUAAGUGUCUCUCUGGGAGUUUUGUUUUGGUUCUAUCAUUUAAUAUUCAUGACAAUCAUCAUUAACCUGCCAGCUGAGCUGUCUUAGCAUCCUGCCUCCAGACAACGUCAAAAAUUUAUUCCUAGCCCCCACAGCUCCUGGAAGCCUACACUUCCACAUUACAGGCUAUUUUGGCUUGGAAUUCUUAUGUUUAAACUAACAGGAUGAAUAGAAAAAAAAAAAGAAGAAUUGCUAGGGAAAAGAUAUAGCAAGAAGGGUGUUCAGUACUCCUAGUUAGCAACGACAUGAUUAAGCAUUUAAAUUAAUCUGAUCAUUCCAGCCUGCACACCAAUGCUUUGGGAAAGCUGACAAUUCAAAUGUAGCCAUUAAUAAUAAAAUGUGAUGGGGCAAAAGGAUGGGGUGGGGGGUGGGGGGCAGAAGCCCUUGCUUUUAAGCUGCAUUGAGUAAACUGUGCCACCGUAAAAUUACUCAUAGGCCACUGCAUAUCUGUCAAAAUAAUAUAUAAAUAUUGAGAUUAGUAAAUAAUUUCAAUGUCACUGAGAAGAAACAUAUUCAUGCUAAAAGCAAAUUCUGUAAUUACAUUAUGAUUUUAAUAAACAUUUUUUCAUCAAGAACGUCA